rnacentral:lncRNA from 1 species
AUUAAGUGCUUUGUAAGCUUUAUCAUAUCUGAUAACUCUAUGGUUUGAAUCUCACUUGGGCAGCAGAGGGAGCUUUUUCAAUAGGUUGGUCCUGUUCUUUUUCAGCUUGUAGUGUGUCAUUAACAAAGACUGAAUCACUGGCGGCAUCAUGGGAUAUCUCUUCUGGCUGCUUCUCAGAAGGACAAGGCUGGAAUGGGCAGGUCUUCAUCAAAACAACAUAGGUUCCAGGCAGGAGGAGGCCAUUCUUCCCUUCUGGCCCAUUCAGCAGAUAGUAGCCAAGGAAUUACUACUAGCCAAGGAAAAUGUCAUCCAAACAUUUCUUGAAGAACGUCAUGGUAUCAUCUUCAGAAACAUGGCUGAUGGCUUGUUCUAAUCUCUCCCACAGCUCUUUGGAUAAAGAAGUGCCUCCUAAUCUCAAAUUCAUGUGUAUUUCCACUCAGUUUCCACUUGUGAUCUCUGGUUCGUCAUUUUGUUGAUACUGAAGAAUGUUGUUGCCUUUGAGUAUUUUGAAUGUAUGGUUGAGGUCCCAUUGAAAUUGACUAAAAUUGUUCAGUUUUUUUCCAACUGUUUGCCUCCUUAAUUUUGACUGCAACAUUACAUUUGCUGACGCUUUUUCACUGCUUUUACGUGGUUUAUAUGGGGGAUACAUUUUUCUUUAAAUUUGAGAAAUCAGUAUGAUCUCUUCCGCUUCAUAAUAUUUACCUGAGCAGACAUCCUCUCCUUCCUGGUAAUCAGACUGACUAUCCUGUUUUUUUUCUGCUGUCCUUUCAAAGUCUUGAUGGCCCUCUGAACUGAUCUCAUGCAUUUCAAAGGGUUCUGGUGCAGGACCACUCCUUUCACAAAUCUGUCAUUAAGAAAUAUGUCAUUAAUUCAUCAAGUGGUGGCAAGGUCAAUAUCGCUGAAGCUAUUUGGCUAAAAUGGAUCUUUUAUUUUUUCAUAUCUGUAUGCAUACUUUAAAAACUUAUGUGCUUUGAGAGAAAACUCCAUCUGAGGAGGCUGUGUACAUUUAUAACCAUGGAUUUCAUGUUAAUACAUAUAAUAUAUUGAUUUUCUGCAUUUCCAAUUCCGUUAAAAUAGUUUGACUAUUUCAGAGAAGUCAUUGAGAUGUAUUUGACAGCAAUGAUCUUUAAAUAAACUCUUAAUUCCCUC